rnacentral:lncRNA from 1 species
GGGAAGGCGGGGCCGGAGAGGAGAGAGGAAGAGGAAGGAACGCGCCUGGCGUCACUGAGGGUGUCACCCGGGACCGCGGCUCAGGAACCCCAGACGCACGGGCCUUGUGCUGUCGCUGCCGUGGCACCCCUUCUAGAAGAAGUGGGAGCCUUGGACAACUGAACGCCUAUCUCUAGCUCAAGAAAUGUCAGCUCUUUUUUUUUUUUUGAGACUGUCACCCAGUCGGGAGUACAGUGGCGCCAUCUUGGCUCUCUGUAACCUCCACCUCCUGGGUUCAAGCGAUUCUCCUGCCUCAGCCUCCUGAGUAGCUGGGGCUACAGUCGUGAAGGGGCCUCGUGACUGGGCCUCAUGCCAAACAACUCAUUACAAAAGGAGCUAUGGUCCCAGACCACAACGAAGCUUCAUGAGACCUCUCCUCAUCUGUGCACGGACAAGUGUCUGACUCUGGAGCCCAGGCUGUUGCUUUCCAGUCUGGUGGUGAAUCCUUCACAGUCUGAAAAUCUAGGUAUCUUGCACCAAGAAGUGGAAAAUAAAGAAGAGAAAUGAGAACCAUGUUUGUAUUGGCUGUCUAUAAAAUAAGAGUUCUAGGUACAUGAAAUCCACUGGUGUGCUGGUAAAUGUUUAAUAACCAGUCCUCUGGAAAGGAGAAAGUUGAAGACCCCAUUUAUACAUUUGCUCAUUUCUGUGGUGUAAAUACCCUGAAAAUAGCUGAUUUCGAGCUAUCAACAUUACUGAAGAUGGAGCUGGGAAGAGGGAGAAGUUAAGUGAAGUUUUCCAACCCACAGCUGUUUUGGCUGAGGCUCCAAAGACUGAGAAUAAAUCAGUAUCUGCCCAGUCACCACGGUGUGCCAAAGGAGGUGCUGGAUUGCCUCGUCAGGACAUGCUACAUGGAUGGAGAGAAGAUUCCUUGGGGAGAUUUGGUGUGUGCAUAACCAGUCCUUCCAGCACUGGAGAAAGGAGGAGUCCUGCACAGGUUGUACACGAUUCUUUCCACCUGGAAACUUGAAACAUGUGCCCUGGAGUUGAGGAUGCUUGGUUUAAUGAUACUGACCUGCAAUUGAGAAGACCAAAAGGGCGAGACAUACCUUCACGCAAGGCGAGGAUGCAUGAGUUUUCCUGUGAAGCAGGAAAGAGUUUAACAAUUCACGGUUGCACAGUAGCGCUAGCGGCUUUGCGGUUUGGUCCUCAGACCCGGCAGCCGCCACUGGUGAUGAGCUGCUAGGAAGCCCCUGUCGGCAAGCUCGUUGGAGCUUGAAUCCACUGUCACCCCUCUGACUCACUGGC